CCCAGGAUAGCUCAGUCGGUAGAGCAGGAGCCUCUUAAUUUCAGGGUCAUGGGUUUGAUCCCCACGUUGGGGA